GGGGAAAUGGCGCAGUGGUAGCGCGUCGAGUUUGCAAAAAUCAGUUUCUGAGCCGUUGUAACAACUCUCGAAGGACCGGGGUUCAAUCCCCCGUUUCUCCA